rnacentral:rRNA from 1 species
UAGGCGAAUCUUCGGCAAUGGGGGGAACCCUGACCGAGCAACGCCGCGUGAGUGAAGAAGGUUUUCGGAUCGUAAAGCUCUGUUGUUAAGGAAGAACGAGUGUGAGAAUGGAAAGUUCAUACUGUGACGGUACUUAACCAGAAAGGGACGGCUAACUACGUGCCAGCAGCCGCGGUAAUACGUAGGUCCCGAGCGUUGUCCGGAUUUAUUGGGCGUAAAGCGAGCGCAGGCGGUUAGAUAAGUCUGAAGUUAAAGGCAGUGGCUCAACCAUUGUAGGCUUUGGAAACUGUUUAACUUGAGUGCAGAAGGGGAGAGUGGAAUUCCAUGUGUAGCGGUGAAAUGCGUAGAUAUAUGGAGGAACACCGGUGGCGAAAGCGGCUCUCUGGUCUGUAACUGACGCUGAGGCUCGAAAGCGUGGGGAGUGAACAGGAUUAGAUACCCUGGUAGUCCACGCCGUAAACGAUGAGUGCUAGGUGUUAGGUCCUUUCCGGGACUUAGUGCCGCAGCUAACGCAUUAAGCACUCCGCCUGGGGAGUACGACCGCAAGGUU